rnacentral:rRNA from 1 species
UACGUAGGGAGCAAGCGUUGUCCGGAAUCAUUGGGCGUAAAGCGCGCGUAGGCGGUCAGUCAAGUCGGGUGUGAAAGCCCUGGGCUCAACCUGGGAAUUGCAUUCGAAACUAUCUGACUCGAGUAUGGGAGAGGGAAGCGGAAUUUCCGGUGUAGCGGUGAAAUGCGUAGAUAUCGGAAGGAACACCAGUGGCGAAGGCGGCUUCCUGGACCAAUACUGACGCUGAGGUGCGAAAGCGUGGGGAGCAAACAGG